rnacentral:lncRNA from 1 species
UUUUGAAUUUGCUUGUAUCUAGUCUGAGUUUAUCAUAUUAGGUUAACUCAAAGGGUGCGUUUGGUUCGAAUUAUCAUGACAAGAUUACAAAUAAUAAUUUUGUUAAGGUUAUUGUGUUUAUUUCAUCCGGUAUGUAAUCUGUUCAGUAUUGUAGUAUUACAAAAAGUGUAAGAUUUGUAGUAUUACAAAUGGUGUAAGAUUAUACCGAAAAUAUUACUGAGAAGGGGUGUGUAUAUUGUGAAUUACUGAAGGCCGGUAAUAUUGCAUACUAGUUAAGGAACCCGCGCGAUGCGACGGGAAGACAAUACAACAGUAAAUUAUUAUGACUAUUAAUAUCACUUUUUUUUUUUUCUAUUAUGCAUUAAUAUUUUUAAAUAUUAAUGCUUUGAACCUGUAAGGGUUCCUGAUUAAUAAGCUUGAUGCGCCGGGGAGAUAAUAUAAUAAUAAAUUAUUAUAGCUAUUAAUAUCACUUUAAAUUAAAAUUUUAAUUUUAAAUGUAAAUUCAAAUAUCAAAAUCAAACUAAAAAAAAUU